GGGUCUAGUGGAGUAUCCCUAGAGGUAUUAUUUGAUGGUCGGGCCGCCAUCC
rnacentral:ncRNA from 1 species